GUUUGUGAUAGGCCCAAGCAGGUGACAGUAUUGAGGUAGCCUUCUCUGAUCUUGGAAAGCUAAGCAGGCUUAGAACUGGUUGGUACUUGGAUGGGAGACCACUAGUAAAUUCAGGGACUAUAAGCU
rnacentral:rRNA from 1 species